rnacentral:rRNA from 1 species
GACGAACGCUGGCGGCGUGCUUAACACAUGCAAGUCGAGCGGUAAGGCCCUUUCGGGGGUACACGAGCGGCGAACGGGUGAGUAAUACGUGGGUGACCUGCCUUUAGCUCUGGGAUAAGCCUGGGAAACUGGGUCUAAUACCGGAUAUGACUUCACGGUGCAUGCUGUGGGGUGGAAAGCCUUGUGCGGCUGGAGAUGGGCCCGCGGCCUAUCAGCUUGUUGGUGGGGUGAUGGCCUACCAAGGCGA